AAGUCUUCCAGCAACAUUCCAAGUACCUAUAGUAACUCUCACUUCUUUUGUAUUAAUAUACUGAACUCUCAGAGUUUCUGAUUUCCCUCUCCUGUGUCUCGAUGAAUACUUAGUUGAAAUCUUCCCUGAAGUUUGAGGCUGACAAUCAGUAGGUUUUCCUGGUGAUCUGUGCCAAUGAUCUUCAUGCACCCUUUCAUCUUUAAGUGAACAAACAUCGUCCUCACUCUCUGUCUCAGUAUCAACUUCAUCUUCACUAAAAUCAUUAAGUUUAGGCUGAAUAUUCAACCAUUUCUUCAUCACAAUUGAAGGCCAAAAUGCCUCUGAUCUUUU
rnacentral:misc_RNA from 1 species